UGGGGAAUUUUGGACAAUGGGCGAAAGCCUGAUCCAGCAAUGCCGCGUGUGUGAAGAAGGCCUUCGGGUUGUAAAGCACUUUUGUCCGGAAAGAAAUCCUUGGCUCUAAUACAGUCGGGGGAUGACGGUACCGGAAGAAUAAGCACCGGCUAACUACGUGCCAGCAGCCGCGGUAAUACGUAGGGUCAAGCGUUAAUCGGAAUUACUGGGCGUAAAGCGUGCGCAGGCGGUUUGCUAAGACCGAUGUGAAAUCCCCGGGCUCAACCUGGGAACUGCAUUGGUGACUGGCAGGCUAGAGUAUGGCAGAGGGGGGUAGAAUUCCACGUGUAGCAGUGAAAUGCGUAGAGAUGUGGAGGAAUACCGAUGGCGAAGGCAGCCCCCUGGGCCAAUACUGACGCUCAUGCACGAAAGCGU
rnacentral:rRNA from 1 species